UACAGAGGUCUCAAGCGUUGUUCGGAUUCAUUGGGCGUAAAGGGUGUGUAGGUGGCGCCGUAAGUCAGGUGUGAAAUCUCGGGGCUUAACUCCGAAACUGCAUUCGAUACUGCGGUGCUUGAGGACUGGAGAGGAGACUGGAAUUUAUGGUGUAGCAGUGAAAUGCGUAGAGAUCAUAAGGAAGACCAGUGGCGAAGGCGGGUCUCUGGACAGUUCCUGACACUGAGGCACGAAGGCCAGGGGAGCAAACGGG
rnacentral:rRNA from 1 species